rnacentral:misc_RNA from 1 species
AGUGCUGCGGCGCGUUCGGUGCACGCGCCACUCUCCGCCGCCGUCGGUCGGCCGUCCCCGCGAGCAUGGCUCCGUCCCGCCGCUGUCUGCCGGCGCCGCCGCUGCUGCUGGCCGCCCUGCUGCUCGCCCUGACGCCGACGGUGCGGGCCAAGGUGCCGCGGCCGGUGCAGGCGGACCAAGGCACCUCCCCGGCCAGCUGCCAGCACUGCCACGUUCGCGAGGCCCAGAAGCAGCUCCAAGUGGAAUCCAUCAAGGCGCAGAUCCUGCAGAAGCUGGGCAUGGAGCAGGCGCCCAACAUGACGGGCCGCAAGCUGCCGGUGGUGUCGGAGGCGCUGAUUCAGGCGUACAUGCAGCCGCGCGACGACGUCGCCGGCGACGGCAGCCAGCACGACCAGGAGUUCAUGGCCUACGAGAGCGACGACGACCACUCGCAGCUGGAGAAGAUGUGGACCUUCUCGUCGCGAUCCCCGCUGGCGGUGGGUAACGGCGCUCUGGCCCAGGACGAGCUGCGAGACCAGCUGCUCUACUUUGACCUCUCUCCCAGCAUCACAGAAAUGGACCUGCAGAACGCCACCCUCUGGCUCUUUGUUCGCAAGCGGCAUCGCGACAUAAAAGUCAAAAUCCACAAGCUCGUCUCGGACGAGCGCGGUAACUACAUCCAAAAGGAGGCGAUGCGCACCUACAUCAAACGGCGGCAUGGCCAGGCGUCCGGCUACGAGACGAUAGACGUGAAGAACCUGGUGCUGGACUGGUUUAGGGACCCGCAGCAGAACUUCGGCAUCCGCAUCGAGACGUCGUCGAAUGGCACCACCCGGGGCCUGUCAGUCAACAGCUUCCUGGACGUCGAUGGCGACGAUAUUGACCUGCUGCCCGUGCUGGAGGUGCAUGUCAGCUCUGACCGGCGGCGCACCAAGCGCACCACGGGCGGCAACUUCUGCACGGACAACAGCACCGAGACCAACUGCUGCCGCUUCCCGCUAGUGGUCGACUUCCACGCGUUCGGCUGGGAUUGGAUCAUCGCGCCGAGCUCCUACCACGCCAACUACUGCUCGGGCAACUGUCCGUACGUGUACCUGCAGAAAUACCCGCACACGCAUAUCGUACAGCAGGUGGGCGGCACCAGCGGACCGUGCUGCGGACCGCGCAAACUGUCGCCCAUCCACAUGCUCUACUGGGACACCUUCAGCCACAUCAGGUCGCGGCCACCCGGCGGCUUGGCCCCUAAUUGGCACCUAUAAAAAGGUCGUCAACGCUCCCGGUCAGUCUGCCCCGGUCUCGGACGCAUUUUAAAGCCCUCAAACGAAAUUCGCCCGGUCCUUGGAGCGUAGGUACCGAAAUGCGACGGAACGACGGAGCCGACCAGCAGCUGCAGGCCACAGUUUUACGACGCCGAGGCACAGCUUUCGGUCACGACGGGACAGCAUGUCAGCCGGCUGUUCAAUUUGGAAGUAGAGGCCGGCAGAAAAUAAUGGUCUUCCGACUUCCUCACGACGGUUGCUGCUUGCAUUGCACCAGCUAUUUGGGUUCGACAAGCUGCCCAACAUGAUAGUGGAUAGCUGCGGCUGCCACUAGCCGGCGGCGCCCGGUCAGAGAGCC